AGUGAACGCUGGCGGUAGGCCUAACACAUGCAAGUCGAACGGCAGCACAGUAAUAGCUUGCUCUUACGGGCGGCGCGUGGCGGACGGGUGAGUAAUACUUCGGAUUCUACUUUUUCGUGGGUGAUAACGCCGGGAAACUUACACUAAUACCACAUACGUCCUACGGGUGAAAGCCGGGGAUCUUCGGACCUUGCGCGAUUGUAUAAGCCUAUGUCGCCUUAGCUAGUUGGCGGGGUAAAGGCCCACCAAGGCGACGAUCCGUAGCUGGUCUGAGACGAUCGUCAGCCACACUGGAUCAGAGGCACGGUAGAGACUCCGACGGUAAGAAGCAGUGGAGAAUAUUGGACGAGGGGCGAGUGCGUGAUCCAGGCAAACCGCGUGAAUCAAGAUGGCCUUAGGGUUGGAAAGCCCUGUUGUUGGGAGAAAAAAGCAGCAGGUUUAUCCCGCGCUAUUCUGACGGUACCCAAAGAAUAAGCACCGGCUAACUUCGUG
rnacentral:rRNA from 1 species